GACAGAGGUGCCAAGCGUUAGGCGGAAUCACUGGGCUUAAAGCGUGUGUAGGCGGAUCGUUAAGUACCUUGUGAAAUCCCACGGCUCAACCGUGGAACUGCUCGGUAUACUGGCGGUCUUGAGCCACCUAGGGGCAACUGGAACAAGCGGUGGAGCGGUGAAAUGCGUAGAUAUCGAGAGGAACACCUGCGGCGAAGGCGGGUUGCUGGGCUGACACUGACGCUGAGGCGCGAAAGCUAGGGGAGCGAACGGG
rnacentral:rRNA from 1 species